AAUGCACCAUAUUGUAAGUCGCUCUGGAUAAGAGCGUCUGCUAAAUGACUUAAA
rfam:Salmo salar isolate Sally breed double haploid chromosome ssa11, whole genome shotgun sequence.